CUGCAGCUCUGAGUCACUGUUGCCCCGAGGAGUCGCUUUGAAGCUAAUUAAAACGUUUGAUAAUUUGACUGUUUUGCAUGGGCAGGGACUGCAUGAGGAUGUCCUGGUGAUUUUAUAGAUUGUACUAAUGUCUUGAGUCUUUUCUCUACUUCUGUUUAAUCGCAGGUGGAAUGGCUAAAGAACGAGGAGAUUAUUGACCCUGCGGACGAUCGCAAUUUCUACAUCACCAUCGAUCAUAACCUGAUCAUUAAACAGGCUCGACUGUCUGACACUGCAAACUACACCUGCGUUGCCAAGAACAUCGUCGCUAAGAGACGCAGCACCACAGCAACAGUCAUCGUUUAUGUGAACGGAGGCUGGUCGACAUGGACUGAGUGGUCACCGUGUAACAGUCGCUGUGGGCGGGGCCUUCAGAAACGGACACGGAGCUGCACCAAUCCCGCACCACUGAACGGAGGCUCGCCGUGUGAUGGACAGGCCAUCCAGAAAAUCGCCUGCACCUCCGUUUGCACAGUGGAUGGCGAGUGGGCUGACUGGAGCCGGUGGUCUGCCUGUAAUACUGACUGCACACAGUGGAGGAAGAGAGAGUGUAAUUCUCCUGCACCACAGAAUGGAGGAAAAGACUGUGAUGGACUCACACUACAGUCCCAGAACUGCACUGACGGACUCUGCCUACAGAGUGAGUAAAGUC